rnacentral:rRNA from 1 species
GAUGAACGCUGGCGGCGUGCCUAAUACAUGCAAGUCGAGCGAACGGACGAGAAGCUUGCUUCUCUGAUGUUAGCGGCGGACGGGUGAGUAACACGUGGAUAACCUACCUAUAAGACUGGGAUAACUUCGGGAAACCGUAGCUAAUACCGGAUAAUAUUUUGAACCGCAUGGUUCAAAAGUGAAAGACGGUCUUGCUGUCACUUAUAGAUGGAUCCGCGCUGCAUUAGCUAGUUGGUAAGGUAACGGCUUACCAAGGCAACGAUGCAUAGCCGACCUGAGAGGGUAGUCGGCCACCCUGGAGCUGGGACACGGUCCAGACUCCUACGGGAGGAAGCAGUAGGGAAUCUUCCGCAAAGGGCGGAAGCCUGACGGAGCAACGCCGCGUGAGUGAUGAAGGUCUUCGGAUCGUAAAACUCUGUUAUUAGGGAAGAACAUAUGUGUAAGUAACUGUGCACGUCUUGACGGUACCUGAUCAGAAAGCCACGGCUAACUACGUG